rnacentral:rRNA from 1 species
AGCGGCAAAAGCUCAAAUUUGAAAUCUAGCACCUUCGGUGUUCGAGUUGUAAUUUGAAGAUGGUAACCUUGGGUUUGGCUCUUGUCUAUGUUCCUUGGAACAGGACGUCAUAGAGGGUGAGAAUCCCGUCUGAUGAGAUGCCCAUUCCUAUGUAAGGUGCUAUCGAAGAGUCGAGUUGUUUGGGAAUGCAGCUCUAAGUGGGUGGUAAAUUCCAUCUAAAGCUAAAUAUUGGCGAGAGACCGAUAGCGAACAAGUACAGUGAUGGAAAGAUGAAAAGAACUUUGAAAAGAGAGUGAAAAAGUACGUGAAAUUGUUGAAAGGGAAGGGCAUUAGAUCAGACUUGGUGUUUUACGAUUAUCUUCUCUUCUUGAGCUGUGCACUCGUAUUUCACUGGGCCAGCAUCGAUUCGGAUGGCAAGAUAAUGGCAGUUGAAUGUGGCUUCACUUCGGUGGAGUGUUAUAGCUUCUGCUGAUAUUGCCUGUCUGGAUCGAGGGCUGCGUCUUUUGACUAGGAUGCUGGCGUAAUGAUCU